rnacentral:rRNA from 1 species
UACGUAGGCAGCGAGCGUUGUUCGGAGUUACUGGGCGUAAAGAGUGCGUAGGCGGUUUUCUAAGUUUGGUGUGAAAUCUCCCGGCUUAACUGGGAGGGUGCGCCGAAGACUGGAAGGCUUGAGUAUGGGAGAGGUAAGCGGAAUUCCUGGUGUAGCGGUGAAAUGCGUAGAUAUCAGGAGGAACACCUGCGGUGUAGACGGCUUACUGGACCAUCACUGACGCUGAGGAGCGAAAGCGUGGGGAGCGAACAGG